rnacentral:rRNA from 1 species
AUAUACGGAGAGUUUGAUCCUGGCUCAGAACGAACGCUGGCGGCGUGCCUAACACAUGCAAGUCGAACGAGAAGUCCGUAGCAAUACGGAUUGUAAAGUGGCGCACGGGUGAGUAACACGUGGGUAACCUGCCCUUGAGAUCGGGAUAACUCCGCGAAAGCGGAGCUAAUACCGAGUAUGACCACGGGAACCAGAGUUCCUGAGGUAAAAGAUGGCCUCUAUUUAUAAGCUAUCGCUUGAGGAUGGGCCCGCGGCCCAUUAGCUAGUUGGUAGGGUAAUGGCCUACCAAGGCUAUGAUGGGUAGCUGGUCUGAGAGGACGAUCAGCCACA